AUUGAACGCUGGCGGCAGGCCUAACACAUGCAAGUCGAACGGUAACAGGAAGCAGCUUGCUGCUUUGCUGACGAGUGGCGGACGGGUGAGCAAUGUCUGGGAAACUGCCCGAUGGAGGGGGAUAACUACUGGAAACGGUAGCUAAUACCGCAUAACGUCGCAAGACCAAAGAGGGGGACCUUAGGGCCUCUUGCCAUCGGAUGUGCCCAGAUGGGAUUAGCUAGUAGGUGGGGUAACGGCUCACCUAGGCGACGAUCCCCAGCUGGUCUGAGAGGAUGACCAGCCACACUGGAACUGAGACACGGUCCAGACUCCUACGGGAGGCAGCAGUGGGGAAUAUUGCACAAUGGGCGCAAGCCUGAUGCAGCCAUGCCGCGUGUAUGAAGAAGGCCUUCGGGUUGUAAAGUACUUUCAGCGGGGAGGAAGGGAGUAAAGUUAAUACCUUUGCUCAUUGACGUUACCCGCAGAAGAAGCACCGGCUAACUCCGUG
rnacentral:rRNA from 1 species